rnacentral:rRNA from 1 species
UGGAGAGUUUGAUCCUGGCUCAGGAUGAACGCUGGCGGCGUGCCUAAGAUAUGCAAGUCGAGCGCCCUGCACAGUGCGCUUCUUGCCUUCGCGAGACAGGAGUGGACACCCGGAAUGGCUGGACACAUCAAAAACGAAGGACUGAAGGUCUGGCUACAGACCUAAGUAAACAAGAAGAAGCGUGAUGUGCAGGGAGCGGCGGACGGCUGAGUAACGCGUAGGAACGUACCCUAUAGUGAGGAAUAAGCCCGGGAAACCGGGUCUAAUGCCGCAUAAUCUCUUCGGAGGAAAGCAGCAAUGCGCUAAAGGAGUGGCCUGCGUAUGAUUAGCUUGUUGGUGAGGUAAAAGCUCACCAAGGCGAUGAUCAUUAGCUGGUCUGAGAGGAUGAUCAGCCAGACUGGGACUGAGAACGGCCCAGACCCCUACGGGGGGCAGCAAUUAGGAAUCUUUCGCA